UACGGAGGGUGCAAGCGUUGUCCGGAUUUAUUGGGUUUAAAGGGUGCGUAGGCGGGUCUUUAAGUCCGUGGUGAAAGCCCAUCGCUCAACGAUGGAACUGCCAUGGAUACUGGGGACCUUGAAUUCAGUUGAGGUAGGCGGAAUUGAUGGUGUAGCGGUGAAAUGCAUAGAUACCAUCAGGAACACCGAUUGCGAAGGCAGCUUACUGGGCUUGAAUUGACGCUGAGGCACGAAAGCUAGGGUAGCGAAAGGG
rnacentral:misc_RNA from 1 species